rnacentral:rRNA from 1 species
UACAGAGAUCUCAAGCGUUGCUCGGAAUCACUGGGCGUAAAGCGCACGUAGGCGGCUUUUUAAGUCAGGGGUGAAAUCCUGGAGCUCAACUCCAGAACUGCCUUUGAUACUGGGAAGCUUGAGUCCGGAAGAGGUGAGUGGAACUCCGAGUGUAGAGGUGAAAUUCGUAGAUAUUCGGAAGAACACCAGUGGCGAAGGCGGCUCACUGGUCCGGUACUGACGCUGAGGUGCGAAAGCGUGGGGAGCAAACAGG